rnacentral:misc_RNA from 1 species
UACGUAGGGUGCAAGCGUUAUCCGGAAUCAUUGGGCGUAAAGAGCUCGUAGGCGGUUCAGCAAGUCGGCUGUGAAAGUCCGAGGCUCAACCUCGGAAUUGCAGUCGAUACUGCUGUGACUCGAGUCCGGUAGAGGAGAAUGGAAUUCCCGGUGUAGCGGUGAAAUGCGCGGAUAUCGGGAGGAACACCAGUAGCGAAGGCGGUUCUCUGGGCCGGCACUGACGCUCAUCCGCGAAAGCGUGGGGAGCAAACAGG